rnacentral:rRNA from 1 species
GUGGGGAAUUUUGGACAAUGGGCGCAAGCCUGAUCCAGCAAUGCCGCGUGCAGGAAGAAGGCCUUCGGGUUGUAAACUGCUUUUGUACGGAACGAAACGGUCCGGGUUAAUACCCUGGGCUAAUGACGGUACCGUAAGAAUAAGCACCGGCUAACUACGUGCCAGCAGCCGCGGUAAUACGUAGGGUGCAAGCGUUAAUCGGAAUUACUGGGCGUAAAGCGUGCGCAGGCGGUUUUGUAAGACAGGCGUGAAAUCCCCGGGCUCAACCUGGGAAUUGCGCUUGUGACUGCAAGGCUGGAGUGCGGCAGAGGGGGAUGGAAUUCCGCGUGUAGCAUUGAAAUGCGUAGAUAUGCGGAGGAACACCGAUGGUGAAGGCAAUCCCCUGGGCCUGCACUGACGCUCAUGCACGAAAGCGUGGGGAGCAAACAGGAUUAGAAACCCCUGUAGUCC